rnacentral:tRNA from 1 species
GCCGGCGUAGCUCAGAUGGUAGAGCAGCGCUUUCGUAAAGCGCGGGUCAUGCCGGCGAUUCUCUCCACGGCA